GACGAACGCUGGCGGCGCGCUUCAUCCUGCAAGUCGAACGACCCCGAGACUUCGGUCUCAAUGGGAGAGUGGCGAACGGGUGAGUAACACGUGAGAAACCUACCCCGGAGAUGGGAAUAGCCCAGGGAAACCUGGAUUAAUACCCGAUACCCUGCUUGCACCUCAUGGUGCGUUCAGGAAACGCUCCGGUGCUCCGGGAGGGUCUCGCGGCCUAUCAGCUUGUUGGUGAGGUAACGGCUCACCAAGGCAUCGACGGGUAGCUGGUCUGAGAGGACGAUCAGCCACACUGGGACUGAGACACGGCCCAGACUCCUACGGGAGGCAGCAGGAGGGAAUAUUGCGCAAUGGGCGAAAGCCUGACGCAGCGACGCCGCGUGGGGGAAGAAGGCCUUCGGGUCGUAAACCCCUUUCAGCAGGGACCGAAAUUGACGGUACCUGCAGAAGAAGCGCCGGCCAACUACGUGCCAGCAGCCGCGGUAAU
rnacentral:rRNA from 1 species